GAAACCCAGUUGUCCUAAUCAUAUUAUCAUGUCUUCGUUCUUUGCUCCCUCACGACUGAUGAUGAGGAAUGGGGCUUCAUUUGCAUUGUGAUUAUAUUCAACAUGCUUAGGUACUUUAGAACAACGUUUGAGAAUGAAGUUGAGCUCGUUUUGGAUUCUGUUUGCAAAAUAUACUAGAAUUUUCAGGCAACUGUUAAUUGCAUUUUCGAGUGUCGAUCCAAAAGAUGGAUGAAAUUGGAAUCUUGCAAAAAUUCUGAGCUUCUCUUGUGUAUUAUUGUUCAGCGAUUUACACUUCUACGGUUACCCUUUCGAUUUUCUAUUCUUGUUUUUAUUGAAUUUUCCAUGUGUGUUCGAUUUUUUUGCUGGUGUUUAACGUUAACAAAUUUUAACUCGAAUUCUUUCGAUUUUCUUUGUUUUUUGUUCAAAAAUCCCAUGUGUGCUCGAUUUUGUCGUUGCGUUUAAGGUUAAGCAAAUUUGUUUGAGAUAUUUUGUUUUUCUUCAUUUUUUGUCUUCUCGUCUAUAUGUUUGUUCUAUUUCUUCUACUUUUAUUUCUAUUUGCUUGAUUACAUUUUUGCGUUUAGGUUUUACCAAUUUCGAGUGACAUUUUUUGUUACAUUCAGUUCUGGCCUCUUAUUUCUUGUGUGUUCUGCUUUGGUUACUUUUAAUUGGGCUCUAUUGUAGCUAAUUUUUUUACAAGGUCAGCAAAAAUUAGAAAUAGGAAACGACGUUGGUUUCUUUUUUGUAGUUUAAUAUGGUCUUUUCCUUGAUCUAUCUUCAUAACUAAAACUAUGUAUAUGAAGGUUUGCAUAUGCCUUCUUGCUAUUUGUAGUGGAAGUUUGCUGUCUUUCUCUGUAUUUUACUGAUCUUAACAUUCAUGGAGGCUUCAAUGUAGGGCUUUUUUGUUUACCAUUAUUUUGAGCUUUGAUGUGUGUCUAGGAUUUUACUUUGCCUAUAUUGUAUAUCAGGACUUUAAUAUCCAUUUGGGCCUGUCGAAUCUUACUUGCAUUCAUUUGUUUGGCUUGAAGUUUCACUAUUGAACAUCACUUAGAACUUUCUCGCUUACAAUUUAAAGUGGAAGCUGGUAAUUUGGUUGAUAGUAUGUGGCUUAACAUAUCUUGAUAGUCUUUGUCAAGCUAUAGAAAUUUGAAACUGGGUUAAGUAGAAAUUAUUGGAUAGUCUGAUAAAUCGAUGAAAUUUUAUUAGAGCAAUUUCAUUUUUCCAUUUAGGGUACUAAUAUGAUAUAAGUUCUUUAUUUAGAACUUCUGUAAGGCCUUUAUACACUUCUCUUUUGUUGUACGAAAUGAUGAUACUAAAAAUAAUGGAGAUUUUUUUGAAGUUCACUUUAUCAUUUAAAAUGUUAUUAUUAUAUUUUGUAUUUUCCUUUAUCGUUUUGCCAAGUAACCCUUCAUAAUAGAAAAAUUUUCAUUCUUCCUCUACCCUUACGCACGUUCAACACUUUUCUCAGUUUACCAUUUAACUAUUUUGCAGUUUAGGUAUUCCAAAGAAGAAGGGAUUCCCGUGGGAGAAUUUCAAAAUCGGAAUUUCACAUAACUUCUGAGGUGAUUGUCUUUCAUUUUAUAUACUCUUUUCGUCAAAUUUGUUACAAAGUUAUGUCUUUUACAGUUAGACUAUUUAUAUUGGAUAUAAACAUAUUUCCUUUGCAUCUCAUCUCUGGAGUGUCUAUUUUUUUUCUUUGUUUCUGUGUUUAUAAUUUUGUGUUUGAGUUAUUCUGAAAUGAAGAAGCCAAAAAAUCAAACACAUAUAAUGUAUUUGUGACCUUAAGUAUGUUGAUUUCAUAUUAUAUUUACUGCUAAUUACUUUGUCAUGUCGGUUCGAUUUGCAUUUCUCUUUGUUCAGAUUUGGUUUAUUUUUUCGACUUAAUAUCAACCCGUCUGAUGAAUUAUUAUCAGUCAUUUGUCAAAAUCAAUUUCCUUCACUCUGUUAAGAAUAAUUAAAUUGAGUAAAAUAAACUAGUUAGCCAAUGAGGUUUAAAAGUUUGUAUCAAGGAAAAUAUUCUCAAAUCUUUUUUGUGAAACUUAUAGAAAUAUACCUCCAUUCGUGUUGUCUACUCCAUUAAGGAAGUAGCUUGGAAUUACAAAAUGGUAAAAAGAAAAAGAAAUUAUGUUUUUAUGAUCAAAGUGCUAUGAUUGCUUUGUAGGUGCGUCUAUUUUAUACUAUUGAAUCUAUAACUUAUGAAAAGAUUUAGGUCAUUACAUGAACAUAUCUAUGGUGGGAUGUUGAAUUCAUCAAAGAUAUUUUCGAGAAGUAUUGAUCUAUAGUUGAUUUAACUAUUCUUGUUUAAAGAUCAUAAGGCAUUUGAGAGCAUAAGGGUUAAGUAAUACAUUUAGGUGCCUACCAAAUUCUAUUGGAUGACUAUUUUUCAUAUGGAGGUUAGAUUGUGCAUAUGAAUAUGCAAUUAUCAUCUUAAUAUUUUAUGGGUCCAUGUUUUACCCUUCAAAAGGAAAAUAUUGUUGUAUUUUUUCUGAGGAAUUGAUGAAUUUUUUAUUUAUUUAUUUUUUUGUUUUAUAUGAUUGAAACAUCUAGGAUCCUGAAACAAAAAAAAAGCCUCGAGUGAAGAUUUACGUUGACAAAGAAAUUGGAAGGAAAAAGGGAGAUGCACUUGUAACAUAUCUGAAGGUAAUGCUUUUUGCUCAAAGUGCUUGGAGUAACAUGUAUCGUUGGAAUGUUUUCAUCUUUGAUUGUUUUGUCUUCAAUGAUGUUAUUGUGGAUUGAGGUCAUUGUUGUUGUGUUAUUAUUGUUGUUAUUAUUAAUAUUAUUGUUAUUUUACUAGGCAUUAGGAACCUUCAGUGGACCUGUCCAUCCAAAUAACGGAUGGAGCUCCUCUAAGGCCUGGUGGCUAGAUCCCAAUGUCAGUUACAAAAGCUAAGUUUGCGCAAAAAGGUAACGUGUGGAAUGCAUUGUUCAUUUUCUGCAUUUGUUUCUGGAUAUUAAUUCCAUUGCCUAUGUUCAUUUCGUUGUACGAAUUGAAUAUUUUAAAAUUUAACUUCUCUUUUGGUGUUAAUUAACCUCCAGGGGAUAAAUUCAUGUAAAACAAGUGGACAAGAAUAAGAAGAAACUUUAGAAGAUUGAAAGGAAAAUGUUACGUUGGGUGAGUCCUUUUCUCACAAAAGAUUAAAUUUUUAUUAUGUAGGGUUUGAUCCCCAAUAUGAAAAUAUAGGUAUGUUGAUUUGAGUUUUAAGUGUUCAUUCUAUUUUUGAUUUCAUUAAUACAAUUUUCUAAAAGGUCAAGUUAAAUUGGAUUCUUUUUUGUUUUAUUUUUUGUCCAUACAUUGUAAAAAAAGGUGAAACAAAACCCUUGGUAAAUUCAAUCGACGAUUAUAGCUGUGUCUUCAUCCUAUUGCGAUUUUGCGGCGGCUUUUUGUAUAUGUUGCUGUGAUUUGCUCAUUUGCAGUAGCCUUUGUACAUCUUGCUGCAAAUUCUGAUGGUUAUAUCUUUAAAUUGUGAAGUAUGUCUAUUUAGAAUUUUCCUCCAGUCUAUAAUUUUUUUUCAAAAAAUUUUAGUACAAAUAAAUUCAGAAGGCUGAGAUAUAAUCCUAAAACCUUCAUUCUUGAGUAUCUUUCUUCCACUAUCUUCAACCUUAUUGCUUUUCUAUUUGAUUUAUUUAGUGGGAAUUUUGAGAGAUCCUUUUUGUUUUCUUUCAACCUUAUUGCUUCGUUUCAGACGCUUCUCAAGUAUUGUCAAGCAGAAAUUUUGACGAUUGGGAUUACUGUUCCUGGGUCAAGUUUCUUGCGAUUUAGGUUCUCGGGUGGUGGAAUUUAAUAUUGUUGGUGAGGUCAUUCUUCUUCUUCUACUAGAAUUUAUAGAUUUCUAUUCUAUGGGUUUCAAAUUAGAAGGUUUUUUUUGUUUGGGUAAAAAUGAGGGUGUUUUGGUGACAGAUUUUUAAGAUUAUUCCUAUUCAUGUUAGCAUUCGUAUAAGUCACCGUUUGUUUCCGGUACAAAGUUUAUGGCCCUGCAGAAAUAAAAGGUAGCGAUAUUGAUUGGAUGGAGUUAACUUUGCAAUAAAAAAAUCCAAGCAAAUAGAAUUUGGCCAAUUUGGAAAACCAGCAUCCAUUUAAUCAUCACUUACGUAAAAAAAGUUCGGCACUUAAUAAAACAUUUUACAAUAAUUUUUGCUCUAAAAGAUGUAUCAAAUAAAUGAUUUUAUAUGUAACAAGCUACCAAGAAAUGUCACUGUAAACAUAAACAUAGAUUAAUUGUAAAGAUUUCAUCAACUUAGUUGAAUGAGCAUGUAUUGAGAAGACAGGAGAAGACAGAAGAAGAAAUCUAGGAAAUAGAUGUCAUGAUCCUUAUGCAAGCAUGCUUGUAUUCAAGCUAGAAAAAGCCAUCGAAUAUAUUAAAAAAAAAACAAAAACUUAGGGCUUGUUUGAGCCCCAUUGUUUUCAAAAAUGCAUUUUGAAAUAGUAUUAUGAUAGAAAGUGUGUGGUUAAAAAAUAAGAAAAAGAUUUAGAUUUUCAUGUAAUAUUAUUAAAAAAUAUGUGGUUGAUAUAGAGUCAAAUAACUAUUGAAGAAUGUAUUUUGAUAGAAAAAUGGGGAUUAAACACAAGCUUACUUUAUUAUUUUAAAAUAAGCAUGCAGGAUACAAAUGCGCAUUAUGUUGAUAGACGGCAUGUUCAAUAGGAUUUUGAACUCAAUCCUAUACCAGGAAACUAAGAAUUUGUAAUGUGCUACAGAUUGCGGAAUUUUAGGAUAAUGAAAGAUGGAUUGAUAAAUUGUUUUCGCUGGCUAUAUGUUGGCUAGAUUUCCUUUUACACGCAUAUAAAGUGUCACCUCCAAAUCCACAUAUGCAGAAUCCUCCCUACUUAAUCUGUGCAUAUACACUUUGUUACUUAGACUUGGCCGGAAGUGUCGGAUAAAAUCAAUUGUUGAACAUGGGUACUCUUUUUCUUCUUUGGGUUUUCAAAAUCAUUCUGUAAAUUAUUCAUGAUCUCUCUUUCUUAGUUUCAAGCUAGCUUGAUGAUGAUGAAUGAAAGUACCCGAUGAUUGGAAGUCGGUAAGAAAUUCCUCUUUCAUACCUUCAAAUAGGCAUGUUUUUAUUUGGAUACAUUGAUAUAUUUUCAUAUAGACAAACACAUAAAGCACAAAGGGAAUAUAAAGAACAAAGAGAAAUUCUACCCACAACUAAAGGAAACUUUUGCACAAACAUCUAGAUACAUGAACGAUAUGGUUCUCUGACAUUUGUGUACGUUGGCAUAAAUAUGAAUGUCAUCAAGGCAAUUACUCAAAUAUUUAUGUGCUAAUUAUCAUUAGUGCAUUUGUUCAUAUUCUGUUAAUAUUUGAUUGCACUGGCAUUGAGGAUUUGUUUCUCAAUUAAGUUAAUCAGAAUGAGGAUAUAUAAUACCUUGUUCUUAAUCAUGAUGCCGCCUAAAUUUUUAACCGGAAAUGGUGAGAGUUAGUGUCUUCAAUAACGCUCUUAAGAGCAUGUACAAUGCAGAGAAGCUAGGGAAGUGUCAGGUCAUGAUUCAACCAUCCUCCAAAGUCAUUAUUAAGUUUCUCUUCAUGAUGCAAAAGCAUGGUAUACAAAACAUUGUGUGGUGUUAAUUUGUUGUCUAUUUACGCAUGCAAUAUUCUAUCUAUACACUUAAUUCUUUAUCAUGUCUGUAGGAUACAUUGGAGAGUUUAAGUACAUCAAUGAUCACUGAUCUGGUAAAAUUGUGGUUGAACAAAUGUAGAGUCAUCAGCCCUGACUUUGACGUUGCUAUCCAGGAAAUUGAGGAAUGGAAUGCAAGGUUGCUUCCCUUCUGGCAGGUAAUAUAUAAAAAAACAUUGUACAUUAACAUUUGGAUGAUGAUCACUUGGUGAAUAUUGAGCUAUCAACCUGGCCAUAUGAUAAUAUAUAUGUUUUGCACAUGCACCUUUUAUUUCAUGGAAUAGUAUUAUCAAGGAGACUCUAUCUCUUAUUCAAACUUUUAUUAAGGUAUCUUCAAUUAGCAUGUCAAUCGGAUAUCUCCAUUCUUAAAUAGCUUCACAUCUUCCUAUCGUAAAAUGUGAUUAUUAUGUUUGGUUGUACCCUCAUUUCAUUCGUCUUUUCCCCAGUAGGUCGAGCAAAUUGUACUUUGUAUAGUAAUUAGACUUCAAAAAAAAUAUUAUCCUGCCUCAUCAGAUGUACAAUGGUAUGCUGCCAAUCCCAAGAGAAUGCUAAUUGCUGAAGUCCACAAAAUUAAAUUUCAUUUUUCUUACUUUCCUUCCUUCAAUAAAUAUCUUCUUUCAAUUGUUUUAAGCUCAUUUUACUUUUCAGUUUUGGAUACAUUUGUUGGCAUCAUGGAGCAUGAAGAGGCUAGGAGAAAGAAGGUUGAGGGGGAAAGUGUGCAAUCCCUGUGCAAACUAGUUUCUGAUGUAAUGUAAGUGAUCCCUACUUGAAUCAACAUAGUACUUAAAAGAAUUGAGGAAGUGUGUUCCAUGCACUGGUUGCUUGGAGCUUAAUCUUGAUUCUUUAAAUGCUAACUCUUCGUUUCUCGUUCCAUGCACUGGUUGCUUGGAGCUUAAUCUUGAUUCUUUAAAUGCUAACUCUUCGUUUCUCGUCUAAGCAUUUUAUCAAAUAGCUUGUGCGGGAUGAAGAAAUUAAUUUGACAAAGUGGCACUUAGAUGAUUGCUUUUAUUACCUUGACAAUUUUUCCAAGAUUACAACUUUUGUUGCAAGUCUUCAAGGUUAUUAAGUUCCAUUUGCCAUGUAAUAAAAACUAGGUUGUGUCGAAAUUAUUUCCUACUUAUAUGAUGUUUCACAAAAAAGUUGAGUAUCGAAUAAUUCUUAACUUUGUAGAAACGAGUACAUAAAAAAUGUUAUUUAAGAAGUCCCCUAAAAAAAAGGUGAAAAAAAAUCUAUUUCUAGAAACACUAAAAUUACCUUCGAAAUGACAAAGCUCGUGCAUGGCACGGGCAAUAAACUAGUAUAAAUAGAAGGGUGCAUGAUAUAGAAGAAGUUACUUAUUUUAAUGGUAGUCACUGUACAUAGUUUUUUUGAUAGCUUACAGCAUUUACAUAUUUCCAGAAUUCAAAAGAUAGCAAAAUAAUUAAACCAACUCUUUCAUCUGAAAACAAUAAGUUUUCUGGUUUCUUAACUAAAGACUCAAUAUUAAGUUACUACAGUACGACGAAUUUCGUGUAUUAAAAUACAAAAAUUGUUACAAAUUGUAUUUUGAUAAAAUACAAGUGAUUUGACCUUCAUGUAAUUGCAAAAUUGUAAAAAUCUUCUGAUAAAUGAUCUGAAUAUUUGAAGACGAGGGGUCACGUGGCUUGAAACCUAGUCUUCGAUAAUUUUUUGAAAAUUUGAUUUUUUGAGACUUGACCUAUUCAGCACUUAGAUUGCUUGGACUUGAACUUGGAUUUGAUUUGAUGUAAAGAAAACUUUGAUCUUCUUGAAUUUGGUGUGAACCUGUUUUGUUCAAAGAAGAUUUUGAUUUUCUUAGGGUUCAAAAGAUUUGGGUUUGAGAGGAUUUAUUCUCUUCCUUCGACGUUGAAAUUUUUUCAGUACUUCGUAAUUGUCUUCUAUGCUUUCACUUCUUCUUGAUUUUCUUCUCCCUCCUCCCCUUAUGGAUAAUUGGUCCUAUUUAUAGGGGAAUUUCCGUGCUAAUUUUGGUAAUACUAAAUUAUAUUUAAUUAAAAUGAAUAAUUGAGUAAUUUAUUAUUUUAUUUAUUUAUUUAAAAUGUGAUAUCGGCUUUUCGGUUUUAUGGACUAUAGUAGGCUUCAAUUUAAUUGGCAAAUGAUUUAAAUUGAUCCAAUCCAUUUUUUAAAAAUUUUUUUAUAUCAACAAAUGUCCCCUCAAGAUUUAUUUAUUUAUUAUGAAAUAAAUAAAUAAAUCAUAAUAAAUAAAUAAAUCUUGAUUUUCGAUUUUUUUUUCGCCUAUUUAUUUGAGUGAAUUAUGAGAUUUGAAAACAGGUUUGUUAAAUCUAGCAAACAGAGGUAAAUAAAUGUUUUUCCUUCCCCUCCCCCCUCCCUCUUGUUUGUAUUUUUUUUAUCCUUCUCUUGGUUUCAUCGUUGACCCUUUAUUAUUUUUUUAAUAUUUCUCGAUUUCUGCAGCCAGCGGAAAAAAAAUGGCGGCGGAAACCAUUGAUUUGGAAUUGGUUUAGGAAUUGGAAUUAUUAUCUCCUUUGUAUAUUUUUAUUUUUAAAUUUUUUUUAAUUAUUAAUUAGCUUUCUUGGUUUCUGUAAAACCAAACAAUUGUGGGCAGAAACCAAAAAACCAUGGUUUCUACCAAAUUUUUUUUCUUCUUUUUCCCCUUUAUUUAUUUUUUCAAUUUCUUUCUUUUUAUUUCUUUUUAGUUCUUUUCUUCUUCAUUUUUUUUUAUAGAAUGUCUUUUUAUUUUGGGUUGAAUUUUGAUUUUUGUUUUAUUUUUUCUUAGUGUGGGUAUUUUAUUGAAGUCGAAACUAACAUUCUUCAUUUUUUUUUUCAAGAACUCAACUUUUGAAGUAAGCCGAGAAUUUUGAGGUUUGAGGGUUUUGUGUGUGUGUGUGGAAAUUAAAUUUUUGUGCUGCAACUACUUUAGAAGUUGGAAAAUAUAUGCUUAUGAACAAACUUAAAAUUACAAACCUUUUCAUAUGAAUUGAGGACCAAGGACUCUCACUUUUCACCAUCUAAUGCACUUUUUGUUUAGGACUAAGAAUCUGUUCCUUCGACUGUCCAAGACAUUUUGUGUUGAGGAACAAAGACUUGUUCGUUCGAUCAUCCAAUGCGCUUUAUGUUGAGGAUCAAGGAUUGGCUCCUUCGAUUGUCCAUGGCGUUGAGGACCAAGAACCAGCUUCUUCGACCAUUCAAGACAUUUUGUGUUGAGUACUAAGGACUUGCUUCUUCAACCGUCCGAGGGACUUUGUGUUGAGGACCGUCCAAGGCACUUUGUAUUUAGGACCAAGGGCUGGCUCCUUCGACUGUCCAAGGCACUUUGUGUUUGGGACAUUUACAUAUUUGGAAGGCUCGUAAUUUUAGAUGAUAAUGAAUUUAAGAGAUUUACUACCCCUUUUUAUUUGCUUUCUUUUUUCUUUUGCAUGAUAGGAAUAAGUUCCAAUGAUAAAGUAUACUCUAACAUACACGAAAUUAUUGAGCUUAAAAAUUAAGGCAAAAGUUAUUUGCGUUUCAAAGAUACCAAUUUGAAGUACCAUGCCUAGACUUGCCAACGAAUGAUCCUUCUCCUGACCUCCUGAGCCAUUGUUGGAGUUGUAUAUGCCUACCAUUAGUGAAUGUCACGAAAGUUUGGAUAUUGGCAAGUGCAACCACUUCCGCAGAGCAUGGAGUGCAUCCCAAAGGCUGAANUUGGUUGUACCCUCAUUUCAUUCGUCUUUUCCCCAAUAGGCCAAGCAAAUUAUACUUUGUGUAAUAAUUAGACUUCAAAAAAUAUUAUCCUGCCUCAUUAGAUGUACAAUGGUAUGUUGCCAAUCCCAAGAGAAUGCUAACUGCUGAAGUCCACAAAAUUAAAUUUCAUUUUUCUUACUUUCCUUCCUUCAAUACAUAUCUUUUUUCAAUUGUUUUAAGCUCAUUUUACUUUUCAGUUUUUGAUACAUUGUGCUGAUUACAUCUGCUGGCAUCAUUGACCAUGAAGAGGCUAGGAGAAAGAAUGUUGGGGGAAAAAAAGUGCGCAAUCCCUGCGCACAUUAGUUUAUGAUGUAAUGUAAGUGAUCCUUACUUGAAUCAACAUAGAACUUAGAAUUGAGGAAGGGUGUUCCAUGCACUGGUUGCUUGGAGCUAAAUCUUGAUUCUUUAAAUACUAACUCUUCGUUUCUUGUCUAAGCAUUUUAUCAAAGAGCUUGUGCAGGAUAAAGAAAUUAAUUUGACAAAGUCACUUUGGCGAUUGCUUUUAUUACCUUGAUGAUUUUUGUUAUCCAAGAUUACAACUUCUGUUGCAAGUCUUCAAGGUUAUUAGGUUCAAUUUGCCAUGUAAUAAAAAUUAGGUCGUUUCGAAAUUAUUUCCUACUUUCAUAUGUUUGAUAAAAAGGUUGAGUAUCGAAUAAUUCUUUAACUUUGCGUAAGCGAG
rnacentral:lncRNA from 1 species